UACAGAGGUCUCAAGCGUUGUUCGGAUUCAUUGGGCGUAAAGGGUGCGUAGGCGGCGCGGUAAGUCGGGUGUGAAAUCUCGGAGCUUAACUCCGAAACUGCAUUCGAUACUGCCGUGCUUGAGGACUGGAGAGGAGACUGGAAUUUACGGUGUAGCGGUGAAAUGCGUAGAUAUCGUAAGGAAGACCAGUGGCGAAGGCGGGUCUCUGGGGCAUUCUUGACGCUGAGGCGCGAAAGCUGGGGGAGCGAACGGG
rnacentral:rRNA from 1 species